AGAGUUUGAUCCUGGCUCAGAUUGAACGCUGGCGGCAGGCCUAACACAUGCAAGUCGAGCGGUAGCACAGAGAGCUUGCUCUCGGGUGACGAGCGGCGGACGGGUGAGUAAUGUCUGGGAAACUGCCUGAUGGAGGGGGAUAACUACUGGAAACGGUAGCUAAUACCGCAUAAUGUCGCAAGACCAAAGUGGGGGACCUUCGGGCCUCAUGCCAUCAGAUGUGCCCAGAUGGGAUUAGCUAGUAGGUGGGGUAACGGCUCACCUAGGCGACGAUCCCUAGCUGGUCUGAGAGGAUGACCAGCCACACUGGAACUGAGACACGGUCCAGACUCCUACGGGAGGCAGCAGUGGGGAAUAUUGCACAAUGGGCGCAAGCCUGAUGCAGCCAUGCCGCGUGUGUGAAGAAGGCCUUCGGGUUGUAAAGCACUUUCAGCGGGGAGGAAGGCGGUGAGGUUAAUAACCUCAUCGAUUGACGUUACCCGCAGAAGAAGCACCGGCUAACUCCGUGCCAGCAGCCGCGGUAAUACGGAGGGUGCAAGCGUUAAUCGGAAUUACUGGGCGUAAAGCGCACGCAGGCGGUCUGUCAAGUCGGAUGUGAAAUCCCCGGGCUCAACCUGGGAACUGCAUUCGAAACUGGCAGGCUAGAGUCUUGUAGAGGGGGGUAGAAUUCCAGGUGUAGCGGUGAAAUGCGUAGAGAUCUGGAGGAAUACCGGUGGCGAAGGCGGCCCCCUGGACAAAGACUGACGCUCAGGUGCGAAAGCGUGGGGAGCAAACAGGAUUAGAUACCCUGGUAGUCCACGCCGUAAACGAUGUCGAUUUGGAGGUUGUGCCCUUGAGGCGUGGCUUCCGGAGCUAACGCGUUAAAUCGACCGCCUGGGGAGUACGGCCGCAAGGUUAAAACUCAAAUGAAUUGACGGGGGCCCGCACAAGCGGUGGAGCAUGUGGUUUAAUUCGAUGCAACGCGAAGAACCUUACCUGGUCUUGACAUCCACAGAACUUAGCAGAGAUGCUUUGGUGCCUUCGGGAACUGUGAGACAGGUGCUGCAUGGCUGUCGUCAGCUCGUGUUGUGAAAUGUUGGGUUAAGUCCCGCAACGAGUGCAACCCUUAUCCUUUGUUGCCAGCGGUUCGGCCGGGAACUCAAAGGAGACUGCCAGUGAUAAACUGGAGGAAGGUGGGGAUGACGUCAGGUCAUCAUGGCCCUUACGACCAGGGCUACACACGUGCUACAAUGGCAUAUACAAAGAGAAGCGACCUCGCGAGAGCAAGCGGACCUCAUAAAGUAUGUCGUAGUCCGGAUUGGAGUCUGCAACUCGACUCCAUGAAGUCGGAAUCGCUAGUAAUCGUAGAUCAGAAUGCUACGGUGAAUACGUUCCCGGGCCUUGCACACACCGCCCGUC
rnacentral:rRNA from 1 species